CACUGUAUGUUUUUUUAAUUUUAAAGCUUUCUGUUGGUUACAAAGCAAUUUAUUUUCAACAGUAUCCAAAUAAAUGAAAUAAAAGUAAAUGAAUAAAUAAUUUAAAAUAAUCAGUAGACAACUAGAAUACCAAUGAAUUUUGGUUUACUGCACAACCAGUAUUAAUUUCAUUAUUUAGAAGAAGUCUAUCGACGUCAGUUAGAAAAUUAGAAUAAAUCCAUUUAUUUGGCAUCUAUUUGUAUUAUACUGAUACCAGUAAGCGUUCGAUUCCGGAAAGGGAGUCUAAGAAAAGGUUACUACAUCCAAGGAAGGUAGCAGGCGCGCAAAUUACCCACGCCUACAGAACAAACAAUACAGGACUCUUUUGGAACCCCAUAACUGGAAUCAAUACACUCUAAAAUCUUUAACAAGGAUCAGUUGGUGGACAAGUCUGAGGCCAGCAGCCGUAGUAAUUCCAGCUCCAGUAGCGAUUUAAAGUUGUCGCCAUUAAAAAGCUUGCAGGUAGAUUUCAGUUCCAGGCAGCUGGUCCGCCUACCAGUGGUUUCUGCCUGUUCUGCAUAGCCAGCCGAUUUCCUUUGAUAAUCUUCACCGGCAAAUUUACUUUAAUUUAAAAAAUUAGUGUUCAGAGCAGGCGUGAAGCCUGAAUAAUGGUGCAUGGAGUAAUGGAAUAGGUGAAUAAAAAAGUAAAGAUGCAAUACGAAAUUUAAUUUUAACACAUAUUAUGUUAUACUAACUUUGCAGCCACGGCCUGUAGCUAUUUUUGCGAUAUAAGUUCAAUU
rnacentral:ncRNA from 1 species